rnacentral:rRNA from 1 species
AUUGAACGCUGGCGGCAGGCCUAACACAUGCAAGUCGAGCGGAGCGGCGGACGGGUACGGAAUGCCUAGGUAUCUGCAUGGUACCGGGAGCUAAGGUCCGGAAACGGGCGCUGAUACCGAUUACUAUCAGAAGAGCCUAGGUCGGAUUAGCUAGUUGGUGGGGUAAAGGCAUACCAAGGCGACGAUCCGUAACUGGUGUGAGAGGAUGAUCAGUCACACUGGAACUGAGACACGGCCCAGACUCCUACGGGAGGCAGCAGUGGGGAAUAUUGGACAAUGGGCGAAAGCCUGAUCCAGCCAUGCCGCGUGUGUGAAGAAGGUCUUCGGAUUGUAAAGCACUUUAAGCAGGGAGGCGGUACCUACAGAAUAAGCACCGGCUAACUACGUGCCAGCAGCCGCGGUAAUUC